rfam:Pelodiscus sinensis unplaced genomic scaffold scaffold134, whole genome shotgun sequence.
CUUUAGGAUUUAUUUAAAUCCACAGAUUACAUUAAUUUAUUAUAACU